ensembl:snRNA U6 U6 spliceosomal RNA
GCGCUUUUCUCAACAGCACAUAUACCAAAAUUGAAUCAAUAGAGAAGAUUAGCAUGCUCACUGCACAGUAAUGACAUGCAAAUUCUUAAAGUGUUCCAUAUUAAA